rnacentral:lncRNA from 1 species
AAAAGGCAUUAAAUAAAUACCUAAAUUUUAUUAUUUUUCCUAAGGUUUAAAAAUUUAAUGCGUAAAGGAAAAUAAAAAAAUCCUAACAAAAUUAGUUUCACUAUUUUUGGACACUUCUAGAAUUUCCCGUGAUUUAAAUGGUGAAAACUGAAUUUAAACUAUUUAUCUACAAAAGGAAAAACCUAUGAUUAUGCAAAACCUUCGGACAAACUUUUCUUACACCCCUCCUUUCUACCCCUUCUCUCACAUGCUUGGCCCAUUGGACCGACCCUACUUUUCCCCCACUAAUCUACCCACUAGGCCACCUCUUCUCUCACUCCUUUCCCUGGCGCGUGGGCCCCUGGCGCCAGGGUCUUCUUCUUCCCUGCGCCAAAAACAGGGCGCGAUAGGGGGCGGUGCGGCUCGACGGCCGGCGCCCUGC